rnacentral:rRNA from 1 species
CCUUCGGGGUGAGUGGCGGACGGGUGAGUAUCGCGUAGGGAUCUAUCCAUGGGUGGGGGAUAACAUCGGGAAACUGGUGCUAAUACCGCAUGAUACCUGAGGGUCAAAGGCGCAAGUCGCCUGUGGAGGAGCCUGCGUUCGAUUAGCUUGUUGGUGGGGUAAAGGCCUACCAAGGCGAUGAUCGAUAGCUGGUCUGAGAGGAUGAUCAGCCACACUGGGACUGAGACACGGCCCAGACUCCUACGGGAGGCAGCAGUGGGGAAUAUUGGACAAUGGGCGAAAGCCUGAUCCAGCAAUGCCGCGUGUGUGAAGAAGGUCUUCGGAUUGUAAAGCACUUUCGACGGGGACGAUGAUGACGGUACCCGUAGAAGAAGCCCCGGCUAACUUCGUGCCAGCAGCCGCGGUAAUACGAAGGGGGCUAGCGUUGCUCGGAAUGACUGGGCGUAAAGGGCGCGUAGGCGGUUUACACAGUCAGAUGUGAAAUUCCAGGGCUUAACCUUGGGGCUGCAUUUGAUACGUGUAGACUAGAGUGUGAGAGAGGGUUGUGGAAUUCCC